AACGAACGCUGGCGGCAUGCCUAACACAUGCAAGUCGAACGAGACCUUCGGGUCUAGUGGCGCACGGGUGCGUAACGCGUGGGAAUCUGCCCUUGGGUUCGGAAUAACAGCGAGAAAUUGCUGCUAAUACCGGAUGAUGACGUAAGUCCAAAGAUUUAUCGCCCAAGGAUGAGCCCGCGUAGGAUUAGCUAGUUGGUGAGGUAAAGGCUCACCAAGGCGACGAUCCUUAGCUGGUCUGAGAGGAUGAUCAGCCACACUGGGACUGAGACACGGCCCAGACUCCUACGGGAGGCAGCAGUGGGGAAUAUUGGACAAUGGGCGAAAGCCUGAUCCAGCAAUGCCGCGUGAGUGAUGAAGGCCUUAGGGUUGUAAAGUUCUUUCGCCGAUGAAGAUAAUGACGGUAGUCGGAGAAGAAGACCCCGGCUAACUUCGUGCCAGCAGCCGCGGUAAU
rnacentral:rRNA from 1 species